rnacentral:lncRNA from 1 species
UAAAGUCUAAAAACCACUUGUCUUUUUCUUCUUUGAAAUCUAUGGAAGCCAUUAGUAAGAUCUCAUCCUCUUAAUCCACCUUAUCUUUAACUUUGACAUAAUUUGCAUUCUUUUCCGACAUGGGACACUCAUAUUGAUAGUGCCCAAGCUUGUGACAUUUAUAACAUUCAACUUUAACUUUAUCGAAUGAUUGUCUUCCUCUACCUCUACCUCAUAAGGAUCUUCUACCCCUUCCUCUUCCUUUUCCUCUUCCUCUUCC